rnacentral:rRNA from 4 species
GUUCUCCCUGAGACUUAGAGUCUCCUGAAGGAACGUUGAAGACGACGACGUUGAUAGGCCGGGUGUGUAAGCGCAGCGAUGCGUUGAGCUAACCGGUACUAAUGAACCGUGAGGCUUAACCUUACAACGCCGAAG